GUCGAACGAACUCUUCGGAGUUAGUGGCGGACGGGUGAGUAACACGUGGGAACGUGCCUUUAGGUUCGGAAUAACUCAGGGAAACUUGUGCUAAUACCGAAUGUGCCCUUCGGGGGAAAGAUUUAUCGCCUUUAGAGCGGCCCGCGUCUGAUUAGCUAGUUGGUGAGGUAAAAGCUCACCAAGGCGACGAUCAGUAGCUGGUCUGAGAGGAUGACCAGCCACAUUGGGGCUGAGACACGGCCCAAACUCCUACGGGAGGCAGCAGUGGGGAAUCUUGCGCAAUGGGCGAAAGCCUGACGCAGCCAUGCCGCGUAUAUGAUGAAGGUCUUAGGAUUGUAAAAUACUUUCACCGGUGAAGAUAAUGACUGUAGCCGGAGAAGAAGCCCCGGCUAACUUCGUGCCAGCAGCCGCGGUAAUACGAAGGGGGCUAGCGUUGCUCGGAAUUACUGGGCGUAAAGGGAGCGUAGGCGGACAUUUAAGUCAGAGGUGAAAUCCCGGAGCUUAACUUCGGAACUGCCUUUGAUACUGGGUGUCUUGAGUGUGAGAGAGGUAUGUGAAACUCCGAGUGUAGAGGUGAAAUUCGUAGAUAUUCGGAAGAACACCAGUGGCGAAGGCGACAUACUGGCUCAUUACUGACGCUGAGGCUCGAAAGCGUGGGGAGCAAACAGGAUUAGAUACCCUGGUAGUCCACGCCGUAAACGAUGAUUGCUAGUUGUC
rnacentral:rRNA from 1 species